ensembl:lncRNA
AUGUGGAGGCUAUAUACAGGGGGUACCGGUACAGAGUCAAUGUGGAGGCUAUAUACAGGGUAUUACGGUUCAGAGUCAAUAUGGAGGCUAUAUACAGGGGGUACUGGUACAGAGUCAAUGUGGGAGCUAUAUACAGGGGGUACCGGUACAGAGUCAAUGUGGGAGCUAUAUACAGGGGGUACUGGUACAGAGUCAACGUGCAGGCUAUAUACAGGGUAUUACGGUACAGAGUCAAUGUGGAGGCUAUAUACAGGGGGUACCGGUACAGAGUCAAUGUGGAGACUAUAUACAGGGUAUUACGGUACAGAGUCAAUGUGGAGGCUAUAUACAGGGGGUACUGGUACAGAGUCAAUGCGGAGACUAUAUACAGGUGGUACCAGUACAGAGUCAAUGUGGAGGCUAUAUACAGGGUAUUACGGUACAGAGUCAAUGUGGAGGCUAUAUACAGGGGGUACCGGUACAGAGUCAAUGUGGAGACUAUAUACAGGGGGUACCGGUACAGAGUCAAUGUGGAGGCUAUAUACAGGGGGUACUGGUACAGAGUCAAUGUGGAGGCUAUAUACAGGGGGUACCGGUACAGAGUUAAUGUGGAGGCUAUAUACAGGGUAUUACGGUACAGAGUCAAUGUGGAGGCUAUAUACAGGGGGUACCGGUACAGAGUCAAUGUGGAGGCUAUAUACAGGGGUACCGGUACAGAGUCAAUGUGGAGGCUUUAUACAGGGGGUACCGGUACAGAGUCAAUGUGGAGGCUAUAUACAGGGUAUUACGGUACAGAGUCAAUGUGGAGGCUAUAUACAGGGUAUUAGGGUACAGAGUCAAUGUGGAGGCUAUAUACAGGGGGUACCGGUACAGAGUCAAUGUGGAGACUAUAUACAGGGUAUUACGGUACAGAGUCAAUGUGGAGGCUAUAUACAGGGGGUACCGGUACGGAGUCAAUGUGGAGACUAUAUACAGGGUAUUACGGUACAGAGUCAAUGUGGAGGCUAUAUACAGGGGGUACUGGUACAGAGUCAAUGCGGAGACUAUAUACAGGUGGUACCAGUACAGAGUCAAUGUGGAGGCUAUAUACAGGGGGUACCAGUACAGAGUCAAUGUGGAGGCUAUAUACAGGGGGUACCGGUACAGAGUCAAUGUGGAGUCUAUAUACAGGGUAUUACGGUACAGAGUCAAUGUGGAGGCUAUAUACAGGGGGUACUGGUACAGAGUCAAUGUGGAGGCUAUAUACAGGGGGUACCGGUACAGAGUCAAUGUGGAGGCUAUAUACAGGGUAUUACGGUACAGAGUCAAUGUGGAGGCUAUAUACAGGGGGUACCGGUACAGAGUCAAUGUGGAGGCUAUAUACAGGGGUACCGGUACAGAGUCAAUGUGGAGUCUAUAUACAGGGGGUACCGGUACAGAGUCAAUGUGGAGACUAUAUACAGGGUAUUACGUUACAGAGUCAAUGUGGAGACUAUAUACAGGGUAUUUCGGUACAGAGUCAAUGUGGAGGCUAUAUACAGGGGGUACCGGUACGGAGUCAAUGUGGAGACUAUAUACAGGGUAUUACGGUACAGAGUCAAUGUGGAGGCUAUAUACAGGGGGUACUGGUACAGAGUCAAUGCGGAGACUAUAUACAGGUGGUACCAGUACAGAGUCAAUGUGGAGGCUAUAUACAGGGGUACCGGUACAGAGUCAAUGUGGAGGCUAUAUACAGGGGGGUACCGGUACAGAGUCAAUGUGGAGGCUGUAUACAGGGGGUACCGGUACAGAGUCAAUGUGGAGGCUAUAUACAGGGGGUACCGGUACAGAGUCAAUGUGGAGGCUAUAUACAGGAGUACCGGUACUGAGUCAAUGUGGAGGCUAUAUACAGGGGUACUGGUACAGAGUCAAUGUGGAGGCUAUAUACAGGGGUACCGGUACAGAGUCAAUGUGGAGGCUAUAUACAGGGGUACCGGUACAGAGUCAAUGUGGAGGCUAUAUACAGGGGGUACCGGUACAGAGUCAAUGUGGAGGCUCUAUACAGGGGGUACCGGUACAGAGUCAAUGUGGAGGCUAUAUACAGGGUAUUACGGUACAGAGUCAAUGUGGAGGCUAUAUACAGGGGUACUGGUACAGGGUAUUACGGUACAGAAUCAAUGUGGAGGCUAUAUACAGGGUAUUAGGGUACAGAGUCAAUGUGGAGGCUAUAUACAGGGGGUACCGGUACAGAGUCAAUGUGGAGACUAUAUACGGGGUAUUACGGUACAGAGUCAAUGUGGAGGCUAUAUACAGGGGGUACCGGUACGGAGUCAAUGUGGAGACUAUAUACAGGGUAUUACGGUACAGAGUCAAUGUGGAGGCUAUAUACAGGGGGUACUGGUACAGAGUCAAUGCAGAGACUAUAUACAGGUGGUACCAGUACAGAGUCAAUGUGGAGGCUAUAUACAGGGGGUACCAGUACAGAGUCAAUGUGGAGGCUAUAUACAGGGGGUACCGGUACAGAGUCAAUGUGGAGUCUAUAUACAGGGUAUUACGGUACAGAGUCAAUGUGGAGGCUAUAUACAGGGGGUACCGGGGGUACUGGUACAGAGUCAAUGUGGAGGCUAUAUACAGGGGGUACCGGUACAGAGUCAAUGUGGAGGCUAUAUACAGGGUAUUACGGUUCAGAGUCAAUAUGGAGGCUAUAUACAGGGGGUACUGGUACAGAGUCAAUGUGGGAGCUAUAUACAGGGGGUACCGGUACAGAGUCAAUGUGGGAGCUAUAUACAGGGGGUACUGGUACAGAGUCAACGUGCAGGCUAUAUACAGGGUAUUACGGUACAGAGUCAAUGUGGAGGCUAUAUACAGGGGGUACCGGUACAGAGUCAAUGUGGAGACUAUAUACAGGGUAUUACGGUACAGAGUCAAUGUGGAGGCUAUAUACAGGGGGUACUGGUACAGAGUCAAUGCGGAGACUAUAUACAGGUGGUACCAGUACAGAGUCAAUGUGGAGGCUAUAUACAGGGUAUUACGGUACAGAGUCAAUGUGGAGGCUAUAUACAGGGGGUACCGGUACAGAGUCAAUGUGGAGACUAUAUACAGGGGGUACCGGUACAGAGUCAAUGUGGAGGCUAUAUACAGGGGGUACCGGUACAGAGUCAAUGUGGAGACUAUAUACAGGGUAUUACGGUACAGAGUCAAUGUGGAGGCUAUAUACAGGGGGUACUGGUACAGAGUCAAUGCGGAGACUAUAUACAGGUGGUACCAGUACAGAGUCAAUGUGGAGGCUAUAUACAGGGUAUUACGGUACAGAGUCAAUGUGGAGGCUAUAUACAGGGGGUACCGGUACAGAGUCAAUGUGGAGACUAUAUACAGGGGGUACCGGUACAGAGUCAAUGUGGAGGCUAUAUACAGGGGGUACUGGUACAGAGUCAAUGUGGAAGCUAUAUACAGGGGGUACUGGUACAGAGUCAAUGUGGAAGCUAUAUACAGGGGGUACUGGUACAGAGUCAAUGUGGAGGCUAUAUACAGGGGGUACUGGUACAGAGUCAAUAUGGAGGCUAUAUACAGGGGGUACUGGUACAGAGUCAAUGUGGGAGCUAUAUACAGGGGGUACCGGUACAGAGUCAAUGUGGGAGCUAUAUACAGGGGGUACUGGUACAGAGUCAAUGUGGAGGCUAUAUACAGGGGGUACUGGUACAGAGUCAAUGUGGAGACUAUAUACAGGGGGUACUGGUACAGAGUCAAUGUGGGGGCUAUAGACGGGGGGUACCGGUACAGAGUCAAUGUGGAGGCUAUAUACAGGGUAUUACGGUACAGAGUCAAUGUGGAGGCUAUAUACAGGGGGUACUGGUACAGAGUCAAUGCGGAGACUAUAUACAGGUGGUACCAGUACAGAGUCAAUGUGGAGGCUAUAUACAGGGUAUUACGGUACAGAGUCAAUGUGGAGGCUAUAUACAGGGGGUACCGGUACAGAGUCAAUGUGGAGACUAUAUACAGGGGGUACCGGUACAGAGUCAAUGUGGAGGCUAUAUACAGGGGGUACUGGUACAGAGUCAAUGUGGAAGCUAUAUACAGGGGGUACUGGUACAGAGUCAAUGUGGAAGCUAUAUACAGGGGGUACUGGUACAGAGUCAAUGUGGAGGCUAUAUACAGGGGGUACUGGUACAGAGUCAAUAUGGAGGCUAUAUACAGGGGGUACUGGUACAGAGUCAAUGUGGGAGCUAUAUACAGGGGGUACCGGUACAGAGUCAAUGUGGAGGCUAUAUACAGGGGGAACCGGUACAGAGUCAAUGUGGGGGCUAUAGACAGGGGGUACCGGUACAGAGUCAAUGUGGGGGCUAUAUACAGGGUGUACCGGUACAGAGUCAAUGUGGGGGCUAUAUACAGGGGGACCCGGUACAGAGUCAAUGUGGGAGCUAUAUACAGGUGGUACCGGUACAGAGUCAAUGUGUGGGGGCACCGGUGUCGAGGUAA